GGUAAUGUCUGGGAAACUGCCUGAUGGAGGGGGAUAACUACUGGAAACGGUAGCUAAUACCGCAUAACGUCGCAAGACCAAAGAGGGGGACCUUCGGGCCUCUUGCCAUCGGAUGUGCCCAGAUGGGAUUAGCUAGUAGGUGGGGUAACGGCUCACCUAGGCGACGAUCCCUAGCUGGUCUGAGAGGAUGACAGCCACACUGGAACUGAGACACGGUCCAG
rnacentral:rRNA from 1 species